rnacentral:rRNA from 1 species
AUUAAUGUCUGGGUAACUGCCUGAUGGAGGGGGAUAUCUACUGGAAACGGUACCUAAUACCGCUUAACGUCGCAAGACCAUGGAGGGGGACCUUCGGGCCUCUUGCCAUCAUAUGUGCCCACAUGGGAUUAGCUUCUUAGGUGGGGUAAUGGCUCACCUAGGCCACGAUCCCUAUCUGGUCUGAGAGGAUGACCAACCACACUGGAACUGAGACACGGUCCAAACUCCUACGGGAGGCAGCACUGGGGAAUAUUGCACAAUGGGCGCAAGCCUGAUGCAGCCAUGCCCCGUGUGUGAAGAAGGCCUUCGGGUUGUAAAGCACUUUCACCGAGGAUGAAUGUGGGGAACUUAAUACGUUCAUCCAUGACGUUUAUCGCAGAACAAGCACCGUGUAACUCCGUGCCACCAACCGCGGUAAUACGGAGGGUGCAAGCGUUCAUCGGAAUUACUGGGCGUAUAGCUCACGCACGGGGUAUGUUAAGUCUGAUGUGAAAUCCCCGGGCUCCAACUGGGAACUGCAUUUGAAACUGGCUAGCUAGAGUCUCCUAGAGGGGGGGUAGAAUUCC